CAAUGAAGGAAGCAUGGUAAAGUGCACAUAAAUUGAAGUGGGUCUCUAGGCCUUCCUUCUCUUAUGCCAUUUGGCUUUGAUUUGGGGGCAUGAUUCCAUAGCAAAACA